rnacentral:rRNA from 1 species
AUUGAACGCUGGCGGCAUGCCUUACACAUGCAAGUCGAACGGCAGCGGGGACUUCGGUCCGCCGGCGAGUGGCGAACGGGUGAGUAAUGCAUCGGAACGCACCCGGAAGUGGGGGAUAACGUAGCGAAAGUUACGCUAAUACCGCGUAUUCUGUGAGCAGGAAAGAGGGGGAUCUUCGGACCUCUUGCUUUCGGAGCGGCCGAUGUCAGAUUAGCUAGUUGGUGAGGUAAAGGCUCACCAAGGCGACGAUCUGUAGCGGGUCUGAGAGGAUGAUCCGCCACACUGGAACUGAGACACGGUCCAGACUCCUACGGGAGGCAGCAGUGGGGAAUUUUGGACAAUGGGCGCAAGCCUGAUCCAGCCAUGCCGCGUGAGUGAAGAAGGCCUUCGGGUUGUAAAGCUCUUUCGGCCGGGAAGAAAUCGCAUGGAUUAAUACUCCGUGCGGAUGACGGUACCGGCAUAAGAAGCACCGGCUAACUACGUGCCAGCCGCCGCGGUAAUAC